rnacentral:rRNA from 1 species
UGGGGAAUAUUGGACAAUGGGGGAAACCCUGAUCCAGCAACGCCGCGUGAGUGAUGAAGGUCUUCGGAUUGUAAAGCUCUUUUGGCAGGGACGAUGAUGACGGUACCUGCAGAAUAAGCUCCGGCUAACUUCGUGCCAGCAGCCGCGGUAAUACGAAGGGAGCAAGCGUUGUUCGGAAUUACUGGGCGUAAAGAGCGCGUAGGCGGUUUGAUAAGUUGGGCGUGAAAUCCCCGGGCUUAACCUGGGAAUUGCGUUCAAAACUAUCAGACUAGAGUGUAGAAGAGGGUGGUGGAAUUUCCAGUGUAGAGGUGGAAUUCGUAGAUAUUGGAAAGAACACCAGUGGCGAAGGCGGCCACCUGGUCUACAACUGACGCUGAGGCGCGAAAGCGUGGGGAGCAAACAGG